GACGAACGCUGGCGGUGUGCUUAACACAUGCAAGUGGUGCGACGAACCAGAGCUUGCUCUGGGGCAAAGCCGCGAACGGGUGAGUAACACGUGGGUAAUCUACCCCGAUGACCGGGACAACCCGAGGAAACUCGGGCUAAUACCGGAUGUGGUACGGGAACAUAAGUUCCUUUACUAAAGGUAGCUUCGGCUUCCGCAUU
rnacentral:rRNA from 1 species